rnacentral:misc_RNA from 1 species
UGUGGGAGCGGGCUUGCUCGCGAUGCAUGCAACCCGGUAUGUCUGACAUACCGUGUCGAUGCUAUCGCGAGCAAGCCCGCUCCCACA